CAUUAGAUGGCUGAAUUGUAAGCACUGGUCUCUUAAACCAAUUUAUAAUAAAUUAACAUUUAUUUCUAAUGG
rnacentral:tRNA from 1 species